AUUGAACGCUGGCGGCAUGCCUUACACAUGCAAGUCGAACGGCAGCACGGGAGCAAUCCUGGUGGCGAGUGGCGAACGGGUGAGUAAUAUAUCGGAACGUGCCCGGUCGUGGGGAUAACGUAGCGAAAGCUACGCUAAUACCGCAUACGAUCUACGGAUGAAAGCGGGGGAUCGCAAGACCUCGCGCGAUUGGAGCGGCCGAUAUCAGAUUAGGUAGUUGGUGAGGUAAAGGCUCACCAAGCCGACGAUCUGUAGCUGGUCUGAGAGGACGACCAGCCACACUGGGACUGAGACACGGCCCAGACUCCUACGGGAGGCAGCAGUGGGGAA
rnacentral:rRNA from 1 species